GCCAAACCUGAGCUAUGGAACAGAUAAAGAAACAAAGGCUUUAUCAAUAACAAGUAGCAGAAAUAAAGAAGUAUAACUAAGCUACAUUGCAAUGUUCAAUAAAAUUUAAAUAAUUGGAAUACUCUAAAUUCUUAGGGUUUUUAAAUUGCCCUUAGUAAUUGUAUUAUCAAACAUUUCACAUCAUCUUAGACAGUAAGAACCCUUUU
rnacentral:misc_RNA from 1 species